GAGUUUGAUCCUGGCUCAGGACGAACGCUGGCGGCGUGCCUAAUACAUGCAAGUCGAGCGAGCGGAACUAACAGAUUUACUUCGGCAAUGACGUUAGGAAAGCGAGCGGCGGAUGGGUGAGUAACACGUGGGGAACCUGCCCAAUAGUCUGGGAUACCACUUGGAAACAGGUGCUAAUACCGGAUAAGAAAGCAGAUCGCAUGAUCAGCUUUUAAAAGGCGGCGUAAGCUGUCGCUAUGGGAUGGCCCCGCGGUGCAUUAGCUAGUUGGUAAGGUAAAGGCUUACCAAGGCGAUGAUGCAUAGCCGAGUUGAGAGACUGAUCGGCCACAUUGGGACUGAGACACGGCCCAAACUCCUACGGGAGGCAGCAGUAGGGAAUCUUCCACAAUGGACGCAAGUCUGAUGGAGCAACGCCGCGUGAGUGAAGAAGGUUUUCGGAUCGUAAAGCUCUGUUGUUGGUGAAGAAGGAUAGAGGUAGUAACUGGCCUUUAUUUGACGGUAAUCAACCAGAAAGUCACGGCUAACUACGUGCCAGCAGCCGCGGUAAUACGUAGGUGGCAAGCGUUGUCCGGAUUUAUUGGGCGUAA
rnacentral:rRNA from 1 species